rnacentral:sRNA from 1 species
UGAUACAUCGAGGCCUGAGUUUUGGC